rnacentral:rRNA from 1 species
AUUGAACGCUGGCGGCAGGCCUAACACAUGCAAGUCGAGCGGAUGAAGGGAGCUUGCUCCUGGAUUCAGCGGCGGACGGGUGAGUAAUGCCUAGGAAUCUGCCUGGUAGUGGGGGAUAACGUCCGGAAACGGGCGCUAAUACCGCAUACGUCCUGAGGGAGAAAGUGGGGGAUCUUCGGACCUCACGCUAUCAGAUGAGCCUAGGUCGGAUUAGCUAGUUGGUGGGGUAAAGGCCUACCAAGGCGACGAUCCGUAACUGGUCUGAGAGGAUGAUCAGUCACACUGGAGCUGAGACACGGUCCAGACUCCUACGGGAGGCAGCAGUGGGGAAUAUUAGGCAAUGGGCGAAAGCCUGAUCCAGCCAUGCCGCGUGUGUGAAGAAGGUCUUCGGAUUGUAAAGCACUUUAAGUUGGGAGGAAGGGCAGUAAGUUAAUACCUUGCUGCUUUGACGUUACCAACAGAAUAAGCACCGGCUAACUUCGUG